AGCUCCUGCCGUCUGGCAUUGUCAUUGGCGUGGGCAUCUUUGCAGUUCUGGUUAUUGUAGCUGUGGUGGUUUUUGUGCUGUGGAGGAAGAGGACUGGAGGUAGGAAGGUGACAAGAGAGAAGGCUAUGAUAAGGCUGCAAGAGACGACAGUGACCAGGGUUCUGAUGCUUCCCUCAGAGCUGAAAAAGUGUGACACAGCUGCUUUGUGUGGUCUGAGAGGCACAGCAUUUGUUCCUGCCUCUCCUCCUCCCUCCUGGGACAUCAUGAGUUCCUGACUUCUCUUCCUGUACCUGGGUUCUGACCGUGUCCAGGCUUCUGUGUGCUGUCAGCCUCCUGUGAGGAACUGAGGAGCCAGCCCAGCCCUGAGCACCAGGACCCUCCCCACACUGACCUGGGUCUCUUUCCCCUCCACUUGCUGCUCCAGCAGAGGCGGGGCCAGGGCUUCCCCAUCCCUGACUUCACUUUCCCUUGCUCUGAGCUGCA